CCUACGGGAGGCAGCAGUGGGGAAUAUUGCACAAUGGGCGCAAGCCUGAUGCAGCCAUGCCGCGUGUAUGAAGAAGGCCUUCGGGUUGUAAAGUACUUUCAGCGAGGAGGAAGGCAUUAAGGUUAAUAACCUUGAUGAUUGACGUUACUCGCAGAAGAAGUACCGGCUAACUCCGUGCCAGCAGCCGCGGUAAUACGGAGGGUGCAAGCGUUAGUCGGAAUUACUGGGCGUAAAGCGCACGCAGGCGGUCUGCCAAGUCGGAUGUGAAAUCCCCGGGCUCAACCUGGGAACUGCAUCCGAAACUGGCAGGCUAGAGUCUUGUAGAGGGGGGUAGAAUUCCAGGUGUAGCGGUGAAAUGCGUAGAGAUCUGGAGGAAUACCGGUGGCAAAGGCGGCCCCCUGGACAAAGACUGACGCUCAGGUGCGAAAGCGUGGGGAGCAAACAGGAUUAGAUACCCCUGUAGUC
rnacentral:rRNA from 1 species